rfam:Otolemur garnettii contig106101, whole genome shotgun sequence.
GCUGAUGCUGGCGAUGAUGCCGAUGGUUCGAGCUGGAGACGGGGUGCUAUGUCACUGUUGUCACUGUCAUCAUCACCAGU